GAAUGAAAGAUCUGGAGACCUCACCGUCGGUCUCAUCCUCUCGAUCUCACCAUGUCAGUCUCAUCCUGUCUCACUCUCUCAGCCAUUCCAUGUCUCUGCCGGCGAUCCCCGCGAUGGAGGGGAGGGGCGGCGACGGAGGGAAGUGACGUAGGCGGCGGCGUUCUGUUUCAACCUGGAUCGGCCGACCGGGGCAGCGACGGAGGGAUGCGACGUAGGCGGCGGCGUUCUGUUUCAACCUGGAUCGGCCAGCCGGGGCAACGACGGAGGGGACGUGGCCCGCGAGGGGAGGAGCGUCAGCAGCGGCAUUUGGACGUGGCCGGAGAUGGUGAUAAGCCACUAAGUAACCCUGCUGUUCCCAGGCGAACACAACAUGAACAUCUAUUUCAUUGGCGGAAGAAUCACCGGAUUUUGUACCCUGUUUCCGAGGCGCUGUUGGCUAUUUGCUGGCGGCGAAGAGUUUACGAUCAUCGCGGUUCAUAGGUGCUGUGUCAAUGGCGCUUGACAGCGGCGAGGUGUAGAUGGUGACAAGCACACCGGAGUCGAGUAGUGUUGAUGCAAGGCGGCGGCGAGUACAGGUGAGUCAGUACUAUGAGUCACUUCUGCUAGAAGUCGAAGCGGAGAAUGAGCGAGAAGUUCUGCUGGUACUCCGAAAGAUGUGGGCAUUAAACUCCAAUAGUUGCAGACAAAGGUUGAUUGUUUGACUAAGCUGCCAUCAUUAUAUGAGAAAGUUGUAUAGUUAGAGGUAUGGCAAAGAAUGAAUUCACCGGAUGAGUGUAGAUGAUAACAAAUUUUGGAAUUUGUUCCGCUGAUGCAUGGUGCCAACAUCAGUACCUUGAUUUUUUCCAGUUCACGUCUUAAUCUCUGUCAAAUAACCAGAUGAAAUAAUUCAAUGAAACACCCUUCUCAACAACCAAUAUCUUCUCAUCAUUUAAAAGAAUUGCUGAGUGCGACUUGGAUGGAGGCUGAA